UUCAAACUAAUUCUUUUGAAAAAAACAUCAUCUGCAAACUCAAUUAGGUAGUAGUACGUCUUAACAGACUAAGCACGAAAUGAUGGCUCCAGCUAGUUUGGGGCGUCUGUGCCUGUGCCUGAUCAAACACACUACAUGUGGUUCAAACUUCAUAUAGAAUCUUCCCAAAUGAACAACAUUGCCAUGCAAUGCACGGCAAUAUUCAAAGUAAAUGUUGGAAAUAAAAGGAGCCACCUUAAACCUACUAGCUGAGGCAUGCAAGAACGAAAUUGGCACAGGCAAGACAAACAGUCAAAUACAUAGUAAAAGACAACCAUAAUCCAGGGUGACUAUAAUUAUAUACCCCGCAUUACACAAUACUAGUAGUAAGUAGCAUAGUCCACAGUCGAUCUCUCCAAAUAACAUUGCACUGGCAAUCCCGCAAAAAAAAAACAUUGCACUAGCAGAUUCAGUCGUCACGGUCAUAGCAUAAUGCAUACUACCUACCAUACUCUAAAUUAUUCCUUAGAACGGCGUACGUACUCACCACCUCGUCAGUCGGCCAUCAGCACCGAUGAUGAGCUGAACUAAUCGGCAACGUAGUAUUGCUUGCUUGCCC
rnacentral:lncRNA from 1 species